GUCUGAGAAGCAGAAAGAAGUCGUAGGAACCUCCCAAGAAGUUCUUGGACAAGGUUUCCUCUCUGGUAUCACCAUAAGCAGAGCUCAGUAAUACAAUCACAAGGGCUGCAAGGUUUCCCGAUAUGAACUCUUCUUCUCACCUGUAACCAUCCAUGACUUAACUCUGCUAUUCGUCAAGCUGUGAGUUUCUCCGCUAUCCUACUCUGUGGGCCAUCAUAAU
rnacentral:sRNA from 1 species